rnacentral:rRNA from 1 species
GGAAAAGAAACUAACAAGGAUUCCCCUAGUAACUGCGAGUGAAGCGGGAAAAGCUCAAAUUUAAAAUCUGGCGGUCUUUUGGCUGUCCGAGUUGUAAUCUAGAGAAGUGUUAUCCGCGCUGGACCGUGUACAAGUCUCCUGGAAUGGAGCAUCAUAGAGGGUGAGAAUCCCGUCUUUGACAUGGACUGCCAGGGCUUUGUGAUGCGCUCUCAAAGAGUCGAGUUGUUUGGGAAUGCAGCUCAAAAUGGGUGGUAAAUUCCAUCUAAAGCUAAAUAUUGGCGAGAGACCGAUAGCGAACAAGUACCGUGAGGGAAAGAUGAAAAGAACUUUGGAAAGAGAGUUAAACAGUACGUGAAAUUGCUGAAAGGGAAACGCUUGAAGUCAGUUAUGUUGUCCAGGGAUCAACCUUGCUUUUGCUUGGUGCACUUUCUGGUUUGACAGGUCAGCAUCAAUUUUGACUAUUGGAAAAAGGCUUAGGGAAUGUGGCAUCUUUUGAUGUGUUAUAGCCCUUGGUCAUAUACAAUGGUUGGGAUUGAGGAACUCAGCACGCCGCAAGGCCGGGUUUUUAACCACGUACGUGCUUAGGAUGCUGGCAAUAUGGCUUUAAUCGACCCGUCUUGAAACACGGACCAAGGAGUCUAACAUGCCUGCGAGUGUUUGGGUGGAAAACCCGAGCGCGUAAUGAAAGUGAAAAGUUGAGAUCCCUGUCGUGGGGAGCAUCGACGCCCGGACCAGACCUUUUGUGACGGUUCCGCGGUAGAGCAUGUAUGUUGGGACCCGAAAGAUGGUGAACUAUGCCUGAAUAGGGUGAAUCCAGAGGAAACUCUGGUGGAGGCUCGUAGCGAUUCUGACGUGCAAAUCGAUCGUCAAAUUUGGGUAUAGGGGCGAAAGACUAAUCGAACCAUCUAGUAGC